rnacentral:lncRNA from 1 species
GGAGGGUUGGGAUCCCGCUAACAUGUUUAACCCCGCCACAUUAUUUAUGUAUGUGCCUGUCCCAAGUCAGGAGCCUGUAAUUCAGUGGCUGUCGUUUGUGUAUGUGUUACAUAUUUGUUUUUCGUUCAUUUUUUUUACAUAAAUAAGGCCGUUAGUUUUCUCGUUUGAAUUGUUUUACAUUGUCUUAUAGGGGCCUAUUAUAGCUGACUAUGCGGUAUGGGCUUUGCUCAUUGUUGAAGGCCGUACGGUGAUCUAUAGUUGUUAAUGUCUGCGUCAUUUUGGUCUUUUGUGGAUAGUUGUCUCAUUGGCAAUCAU